CUCAACACCAGGAACAGUCACUGCCAAGAAAGUGUAUAUUACUAAUGGUCUGUAGAACUUGCCUAAACAAGGAUCUCUAGAAUCUCAGGUUUUCCCAGUUACUAGGACUCAGCAUACUCGGGCACAUUCCUUCCUGCUCCUCAAGGAAUAUCUUCCAGAAUAUAGCUCUCUGCUUCCUCACUGCCUAGCCAUGUUCUCAAUCACCAUUCUGCUGCUUGGAAUGCUCUUCACAGUGAGAGGAACCAGAGCCCAGUCAGUGACCCAGCCUGACGACUACAUCACUGUCUCUGAAGGAGACCCUCUUGAGCUGAGGUGCAACUAUUCCUAUGGUGCAACUCCUUCUCUCUUCUGGUACAUUCAGUACCCCAGCCAAGGCCUCCAGCUGCUCCUCAAGUACACUUCAGGGUCCACCCUGGUUAAAGGCAUCAAAGGUUUCCAAGCUGAAUUUAAGAAGAGUGAAACCUCCUUCCACCUGAAGAAACCAUCAGCGCAUUGGAGCGACUCGGCUGAGUACUUCUGUGCUCUGAGUGACACAGUGACUGAGACUGCAGGGGGAGCUGAACACAAACCUGCUGAGACACAAGUUUUCAGAUACUCAAGGACACAGCCUGAUCUGUUUUUAGCAAGGUCUCUCAUGUGA